CCCUUCCCGGGGUCGCACCUGCAGAGUUUCCAGUCCUCUACCAGUCUCGACUCCGGGAGGGAGAGUCAAGCAGAGGCAUACCCAUUCCAUUCCUACCUUGGGCAGUGGCUAGGGAGUGGAAGGCAAUCUGCUACAGGU